AAGCAAUUGUUUGUUGGUUUUAGC
rnacentral:siRNA from 1 species